CCAGACUCCUACGGGAGGCAGCAGUGGGGAAUAUUGCACAAUGGGGGAAACCCUGAUGCAGCAACGCCGCGUGGGUGAAGGAGCGUUUCGGCGCGUAAAGCCCUGUCAGCGGGGAAGAAGAAAGACGGUACCCGACCAAGAAGCCCCGGCUAACUACGUGCCAGCAGCCGCGGUAAUACGUAGGUGGCGAGCGUUAUCCGGAAUGAUUGGGCGUAAAGGGUGCGCAGGCGGCAUGUCAAGUCUGAAGUGAAAGGUACGGGCUUAACCUGUACAGGCUUUGGAAACUGGCAUGCUAGAGGACAGGAGAGGGCGGUGGAACUCCAUGUGUAGCGGUAAAAUGCGUAGAUAUAUGGAAGAACACCAGUGGCGAAGGCGGCCGCCUGGACUGUUACUGACGCUCAGGCACGAAAGCGUGGGGAGCAAAUAGGAUUAGAUACCCCGGUACA
rnacentral:rRNA from 1 species